rnacentral:rRNA from 1 species
UACAGAGGAUGCAAGCGUUAUCCGGAAUCACUGGGCGUAAAGCGUGCGUAGGUGGCGUGUUAAGUGUGAUGUUAAAUCGUGUGGCUCAACCAUAUCGAUGUGUCGCAUACUGGCAUGCUAGAGGACAGCAGAGGCAAGUGGAAUUAGUAGUGUAGCAGUGAAAUGCGUAGAUAUUACUAGGAACACCAAUGGCGAAGGCAGCUUGCUGGGCUACUCCUGACACUGAGGUACGAAAGCGUGGGGAGCGAACAGG